rnacentral:rRNA from 1 species
GCCAGACUCCUACGGGAGGCAGCAGUGGGGAAUAUUGCACAAUGGGGGAAACCCUGAUGCAGCAACGCCGCGUGAGUGAAGAAGUCAUUCGUGAUGUAAAGCUCUAUCAGCAGGGAAGAAAAUGACGGUACCUGAGUAAGAAGCCCCGGCUAACUACGUGCCAGCAGCCGCGGUAAUACGUAGGGAGCAAGCGUUGUCCGGAAUUACUGGGCGUAAAGGGCGCGUAGGUGGGCGCUUAAGUCAGGUGUGAAAACUCCGGGCUCAACCUGGAGACUGCACUUGAAACUGGGUGUCUUGAGGGCAGGAGAGGAAAGUGGAAUUCCUAGUGUAGCGGUGAAAUGCGUAGAUAUUAGGAGGAACACCAGUGGCGAAGGCGACUUUCUGGACUGUACCUGACGUUGAGGCUCGAAAGCGUGGGGAGCAAACAGGAUUAGAUACCCCGGUAU